UCGCGCGGUCCGCACGUGUCUUGUAUUCCGUGGUCGUCAGGGUCAUCAAGGAUCUUCAAUAUGCAAACAUGAUAUCUUCGUGGAUCCUGCGGUUGUUUAUGUACUAAGGUUCAUUCAGAAUGGAUCGGAGUGUUUUGGAUUGAAAGCUCUGAAGGAUUUCGAUGUUGAAACUGGAAGCUGUCCCCCAUAGCUGAAUUCCAUAGGCUAACCGCAUUCGAUCAGUCCAAAGCAGAGCAUUCAAGGCAAGACUAUGAAGUUAGAAGGCAAGAUGACAUUAAAGAGGAAAAUAAUAAAUACAUUUACAGUCAAGAAGUUGGCCAUUUGAAGUCAUCUACAGUUGCUGAAAAAGGUAUAGGUAGUGAAUAUCAAGGUCUGGAUGCUUCAUAUGGCAGCGCUCUACAGAACAGCAUGCCUUCAGAUGUGUUAACAUACAACAAACACAAAACUAAAGACCCACAUAAGGAUAAAUUUCAGCAAUCUGAAGAAAUACUCAGAGAUCUGUGGAUUUUAUAAUCCAAAGAAAACCUCAGUUUUAUCACAUUAUAAUUUACCUUUGAAAAGAAAAUUGUCAACAAAAUAUGCAGAAAUUAGACAGAAGCGUGGUCCUUAUCUCUCUUCAGGUAAUCAGCUAUUUUCUGACAAAUUCCAAAGAUUGCAACCUGCAAAUAGACUAGGAAUUCUUGAUGUCAGAAAAGAUCCAAGAAUAACAAGUACAGUAUCUCCUGAUAAACAAAUUAGUACAAACCACCACAGAAUUACAUACAAAGAGGAAGGAUAUUCAUUACAUGCACGGAAACCUUUACAUGGUCACAAAAUUACUGACUCUUUUCAAUCACGAUACAAACUGAUGACUUCCAAUCUACUAAAUUCUGGAGAAGCUACUCAUAAAAGGCCUACUUUAUUUGUUUCAGAAGGAGAUGAUGCAUCAGAAUUGACCAGACGCCAGGUUUUGAACAAUAUAAAAGUUAACUCAGCCAAUAAGAGACAGCUGUCACCUUCAACAAAGGAAGAACUGUAUUCAAAAGGAAUAGAUUCUAGAUUGGAGAAGCAGUCAAAAUCUGAAUCAGAGGAGGACACUGAAAACAAACACUUUAGACACAAUAAUUUUGCUUCAGUUGCAGUAAAUCUUGCUUUUCCAGCAAAUGAGCAAGUAAAAGAUGAACCACUAUACAUAUCACUCUACCGCAGUACCAGUGACGCCCAAACGCUUCAUCAGAAGGACACUAAUCAUAUUUAUAAUCAGAAACAAAACUUUGCUUACCCAAAACACAGACCUUCCAAUGGUAAAGUCACAUAUAAUAAAGAACAAAUGGAGGAAGGAUUACGAGUACAUAACAGAUUUAGCAGAAGGAUACAUAAUAAAAUGAAAAUGAAAUAAAUUCUGCAAACAGUGAAGAUAUGUUCAACAAAGCCAAUGAUCAUUUUAUCAGUGAAAUUCAUCAAGAGACAGGCUUCAGUGAUGUUAACAGAGAUUGGGAACAUGGAUUUGAAGACACUGUUGCAGAUAAUGAAGAAAAGGAAAGUAAUCCAUAUGACACCGCACAUGGUUGACAGAAUCCUUUUGCUUAUGGAUAUAUGCCACAAGAUUUCGAAGAUGAAGAAGAAUCAUAUGAUAAUAGACACGUGUAUGUUAAGGAUGGUGGUGAUGAAAAUUAUGAUACCACAUAUGAUUAUUCUCAUAAAAUUCAAGAAAGUCUUAAGAGUGGUGGCAGUAACAUAGGACUGCAAGCAGUUUAUCAACAGGAAGAUGAUGGGGUGCAAAGAAAUCUGAAUCAAGCAAAGAUAAAAGGUGACACAAGCUAUUAUAAACAUGGCAAUAGCUCUAUAUCUUCUGAAAAUGGGACAAAAGACAAUGAGGAAACAGAAUACAUUAUUCAAUCUCGAAUUGAACAUUUGAAGGACAGAAUAAAAAGGAAGAUGACCAGUGAUAUGGAUCAAAACUGAAAUGCUAGGGCCCCACCAUACAGUAAUGUUGCAGAUUGUUAUAUUAAAUGGGGUUCAAGGAGGAUAGUUGAAGGAGUCAUCCGCUGUGAAUGUAAAAUAUGUUAGAAAUAGUGGUUCCUAAUGAAAGAUUUCAGUGACAUCAAUAUAAAACUAAAGCAAAUAUUAUUCAAUAAAUGAACAAGUUACAAAACUGAGUUUAAAGAAGUUUACACGUGUUUGCAUUUGUGGGUAAUCGAUGUUCUAAGAAACAACCAUAUAAAACUAUAACAAUUGUAUAUGUUAUUCUCGAAUGUACAGAAUAGUUGCUGACAAGUUUGCGGGCCCUGAAAAGGGCCAUUUGUUCGACCGUGCUUGUGCUAGUAGCAUUAGCUGCUUUGUAGCAGACCAGGUCUUCUUUAUGGCCAUUCAGCUGGUCUGGCUGGCCAGUGAUGCGGUGCUGCGUGCGCCAGUAGGAACAGCUGCUUAUGCUGUGGAUGAUGACGGAGCCAUUGUCUCGACACGGUUGCUGUAGAGCCUUUGCUGCUUCAUGACAUCAGAGUAGCUGCAUUAGCUGUCUUUGUCAUAAUGAGGACUAUUGAAGAACUGAUGAUAGCGAGUUUUGAGCUCCACCUUUUAUACCAUGCUUGUUGGGCUGAGCUAAAGUUGCAGUUGCAAUUGCGAUUGUGAGCACUGAUUGGCUAGCACAUGUGAUGAUCUACAGGUGGGUUGGACAUUGAGUGCUUUAUAAAUAUGAGUGCUGGCAGCAAUGUGACAUUGACUUGGCUUGAGCAAAAGCUGAAUGCUGUCUGUUAGACAGACGAAGUGCGUGUUAGUAUGUGGGUGUUCCCACACAUUUUUCACAUGAAAAGAAAUGUUCUUUCUCAGAUCAAAAAUUUCAAAUAAGAUCUAAAAGUAUGUGACAGUGAUACAUUAAUACAAAUAUAUAUUUAUGGAUAUUAUCCAUUGUUCUGUUUUUAUCUACAACACUAUCCUGUUUACAUUUCAAAACACAACGUUUCAGAGACUGGAUUCUGUCCUCACCUAACAGGCGAAACCUAUUCAUUUGGGCCCAAUUGAUAGAGCUACUCCCUAUCUUCGAAACGUUGUGUUUUGAAAUAUAAAUAGAAUGGUGUUUUAGAUAAAAACAGGGAGUUGGAUAAUGUCCAGAAACAGAAUAUUUGUAAAAUUCCGAAGCUGAACUUAAUUUUCAAGCACUGAAUUUUGUAAUGAAAAGUUAAACAACUCCAUCCGGAGUGACUGAUAACAUGUUUUCUUUCUUUCCUUUUUAAUCUUUCAUCCUUGACAUGUUUCGGUCUUAGAGAUCAUCUUCAGAAGGAUAUAUCAAUACAAUACAAUACAAUACAAUACAGUUCAAUUAAUCUGUUUAUAAGUGUGGCUUAAAAAAGAUUUAAUUAAAAUGUAGAACCAAUUUGGUUCUGAAAAUUUUAGCAGAAUAUUUUUUUAAA